rnacentral:rRNA from 1 species
UGCAGUCGAACGGUAACAGCUCCUUCCGGAGGCUGACGAGUGGCGAACGGGUGAGUAAUACAUCGGAACGUGCCCGAUCGUGGGGGAUAACGGAGCGAAAGCUUUGCUAAUACCGCAUACGAUCUACGGAUGAAAGCAGGGGACCCUCGGGCCUUGCGCGAACGGAGCGGCCGAUGGCAGAUUAGGUAGUUGGUGGGAUAAAAGCUUACCAAGCCGACGAUCUGUAGCUGGUCUGAGAGGACGACCAGCCACACUGGGACUGAGACACGGCCCAGACUCCUACGGGAGGCAGCAGUGGGGAAUUUUGGACAAUGGGCGAAAGCCUGAUCCAGCAAUGCCGCGUGCAGGAUGAAGGCCUUCGGGUUGUAAACUGCUUUUGUACGGAACGAAAAGUCUCGGGAUAAUACCCUGGGACCAUGACGGUACCGUAAGAAUAAGCACCGGCUAACUAC